rnacentral:lncRNA from 1 species
GUUGCUGCCUCUACUGUCUCGUUGUUUUUGUGACAAUGACAAAUAAAGUACUUUGAACUUUGAACUUUGAAAAAAAUGUUCUUCAGGCUAAUAUAACUUUAACGUUCCAGGUGUUGCGUAGCAACCCAUUACUUGCUGACUUCAAGUUACAAUGACUUUCCGCUACGUUAAAUGACCGGACUUCUUGCGGAAUGAUAUGAAAGUGCAUAGAAGCACAAAACCCGUUGCCAAUGACAGCGGUCAUUAACUUUUCGCAGUGGUGAAUAUCAAGAAAUUACAGACCUGCUAACGUUGGGGUGCCCCAUUCAAAUCAACGGAACUUUUUGGAACAUAAAGGCCUGCCCCUAAUACAGGCCGGUGCGCUGUGCAGCCUAAGUAAAUAAAAGCCCCGGCCACAAUUUAAGGAUUUACGGUAAUCUGUAUUGCUUGUUUCUUUCUAAAUUAUCUGUAUGUAAUAUGCACCUAAUCUGUAAAUUGUAUAGUGACUAUAUUGUUUUAAGGGCCACCAAUGACCAGAGCUCAAUUUUUUGUAAGCAUCAACAUACCUGGCCAAUGAAGCUAAUUUGGAUGACCGUUCCAUAUGACACAUUCUAACCUGUACUAAUCUGACACUUAUGCAUUUGUAAGAGUUGGUAUUAAACUUGUGUAAAGAGCCCUGACAAUAGAAAAGCACAAAUUAAACUAGAAAUAAGAAAAUUAAGAGGGCAAUGAAAUAAACUGUCUCUUCAUUGGUUUGACAGAUGCAUCAGUGAAACUGUAGGACAAGAGUUUGUUGCACAGCUAUACAAACGCCAUCUGUACGUCAAUUGAACCAAAAGCUGAUGGUGAAAUCAUGGUGAAGUUGGCGAUUAUAGUUCUGAUCAUCCAGCUGACCGAGUUGGGGGCCUCUCCUGCCUGUGGUCGAACUGAAUAUCUUAAAGGGCAGAUCUGCUGCCCCAUGUGUGCUCCUGGUUAUUAUGCACAGAGACACUGCACUGUGUCCACCUUGACGACAUGUGGUCCAUGCUUGUCAUCUACCUACACUGAUGCACCCAAUGGACUGGAGUCCUGUAAAUCUUGCACAGAUUGUGACUCGAGUAAGUCAAUUAUUCCAACAGUUUUGGUUUACCUUCCUUAUUAGUUUAUUUUUCGUGCAUUCUAUGUAUAUUAUUUACAUAAAUUCUUUGCAUUGUUGAUUGCAAUUGAAAUGUUUUUCAACCAACCCUAAUAUAGGUGCAAUCACCUUUAUAAAUAACUGUAUUUCCUAAUAUAUGUGAAGGUCUAAGAGUGAAGAGGGCAUGCAGCUCCACUUCAGACACACUCUGUGAGCCUCUGGAAGGUCACUACUGUACUGACCCAAUCAAAGAUGGCUGCCAAGGAGCUGCAGAACACACAAAGUGCUCACCAGGGCAGUACAUCAACGAGACAGGUUAGACAAUCCUCUGUAAUUACCUUAUAGACACAGGGUUGGGACUAUUGAAUAACACCCCCUUCUGUCCACCUGGUAGGAUACUUGAAUUCAGUCUGUUUCAACCCUUGUCUGAUUAGAGACGUGG